rnacentral:misc_RNA from 1 species
AAAAAUUUCAACUAUUUUUAGUUGAUAACUCCAAAUUUCAAUUAUGAGUGAAGGAGGCAAGGACAGUCAUUAUCACCACCAUGGCCACCACUAUGACCACCACCACCACCACUAUGGACACCACCAUCACCACCAAGAGAAGACCCAACCACCCCCACCAUGGCUACCAACAGCACCACCAGAAGUAGCUGAAUAUGGUACUUUUCAACCACCUCCUCAACCAGUAAUUGGUUUUCCUCUGCCAGUUCCUCCACCUGGAUCAGUACUUGAACCUUCUGAAUACUAUGCUCGUGGCUAUCAUUCUGUUCCAGUUCCUCCACCUGGAGCAGUACUUGAACCUUCUGAAUACUAUGCUCGUGGCUAUCA